rnacentral:rRNA from 1 species
CAGCAGCCGCGGGAACACGAAGGGUGCAAGCGUUAAUCGGAAUUACUGGGCGUAAAGCGUGCGUAGGCGGUGAGUUAAGUCUGCUGUGAAAUCCCCGGGCUCAACCUGGGAAUGGCAGUGGAUACUGGCUCGCUAGAGUGUGUCAGAGGAUGGUGGAAUUCCCGGUGUAGCGGUGAAAUGCGUAGAGAUCGGGAGGAACAUCAGUGGCGAAGGUGGCCAUCUGGGACAACACUGACGCUGAGGCACGAAAGCGUGGGGAGCAAACAGGAUUAGAUACCCCUGUAGUCCCUGUCUCUUAUAA